rnacentral:rRNA from 1 species
UACGUAGGGUCCGAGCGUUAAUCGGAAUUACUGGGCGUAAAGCGUGCGCAGGCGGUUUUGUAAGCCAGAUGUGAAAGCCCCGGGCUCAACCUGGGAACUGCAUUUGGGACUGCAAGGCUGGAGUACGGCAGAGGGAGGUGGAAUUCCACGUGUAGCAGUGAAAUGCGUAGAGAUGAGGAGGAACACCGGUAGUGGCUGAA